rnacentral:rRNA from 1 species
AUUGAACGCUGGCGGCAUGCCUUACACAUGCAAGUCGAACGGUAACAGGUCUUCGGAUGCUGACGAGUGGCGAACGUUUGAGUAAUACAUCGGAACGUGCCCGAUCGUGGGGGGUAACGAGGCGAAAGCUUUGCUAAUACCGCAUACGAUCUCCGGAUGAACGCCGUGGAUCUUCGGACCUCCCUCGGACGGAGCGGCCGAUGGCAGAUUAGGUAGUUGGUGGGAUAAAAGCUUACCAAGCCGACGAUCUGUAGCUGUUCUGAGAGGAUGAUCAGCCACACUGGGAAUGAGACACGGCCCAGCCUCCUACGGGAGGCAGCAGUGGGGAAUUUUCGAGAGUAGGCGAAAGCGUGAACUAGCCAAGCCGCGAGAACGAUGAAGAGCUUCGGGUUGUAAACUGAUUUUGUACGGAACAAAAAGACUCUUACUAACAAAGAGGGGUAAUGAGGGAACCGUAAGAAUAAGCACGGGCAAACUACGU